GAAGACUGUUGCUCUCAAGGCAGUCAGCACUGAAAAAGCUGCUUUCUGUCUUCUCACAUCUGCAAACACUAGUCAAGUUAUUAGUGGGAAACUGAGAAGACCCAAGGAGAUGAUGGCUGACAAUUUUGGAGAGAAGUGACGUACUGAGAGGGACAUUAAGUCUAUGGAAAAAAGAGGAAGAGGAUGAACGCUAAAACCUCAAAGUGUGGGUAUGGAAGCUUCUGAGGUGAGUGACAGCUGGAGAGAGCAAGCAUCAGUUGGUAAGUCCCAGAGCUCCACCGUGUCUCCCGUCUGGGGAGAGGACCAUCACCCCUGCCUCCAGGGGUCUCUACUGGCUGAAGUUGCACUCUGCAAGUGAGGCUGGGAGUUGAGUCACCGCACUCAGAUGUGGAAUUCAGGUGCUUAACCACUCGGCUAAACACCUGUCCUGGGAACAUCUGUUUCCUGAUGAAUUGUUACCCUUGGCUGAGCCCGGCUCCCACGUCGGCAGUUCUGUUACACAGAGUCUGCGCUGUCAGCAAACCUAAUACUUCCUCUUUCAAAUCUUUGAAACAAUUCCCUGUUCCCCAGUGCACACUGACGCAAAGCCAAGUCACAUGUGUCCCCUCACAUUCUGCCUGCAGAGGACGGAGCAGAGGCCUCUGCUGCCAGGCCCUCAUGCUGUUGGUCCUUCCUAGGUCCUAUGCUGGGCUGCCUGCAGCUGAUGCUGCAUCUGCCGCUGUCGAGGCCUCGAUCCUGCAAUUCCUCCUAAAUGAUGCACUCAGAAAUGUUUCCUGAACUCGGUUCACAGCCACUCGAUUCACAGUGACCCUAAGGGGAAGCAUGCCCAUGUCCAUCAGUGGAUGUAUGGACCAGGGUGUCAGCAAAAGAUAGUAGAGGUGUGCCAUGUGCCAGUACCCCACCCUAAAUGGUAACAGAUGAACUGGCAGGCACUGUGUUGAGUUGAAGCCACUUGUAUGAGGUGUCUACACUGUCCCAUUCACACAAGGAAACCCCAACAGUAGCUCCAAGAGCUGGGGGGAGGGAGAGAGCUGCCCACUAGCAGUGUGCCAGCUUUGGAAGACAAGCUCCCUGAGGGUGUUUCCCAGCCAUGUCAUGCCCUGGAGCUGCUGAGCCUGGGCCUGGAAACGAGGGUGCUUGUAUCCUGUCUGAAGACUUGUCCUCACAGCUGUCACCUGCUUGUAUAAUGUAAACGUUUGUUUUCUUACUCAGUAGAAAGUCAUUUUCUCUUCCCACUAAUGGAGCUUAAGACUUUUCAACAUCAAAAUUCUUUUUCUAUUUUGUUCAUUUAUUCAUAUUCUAUGAAAUACUGUAUAGCAAACAGCAGGUGCUCAGUAAACACUGUUUGAGUGGCACUUUAGUUCACUUACAGCUAAUGUAUUAAAGUCAGAUGCUGAAGAGUCGGGAUGGUCCUUUGACCCAGCACUGCCUCCAGUGACCUCAGAGAGUUACAGUCAGCUCAGCAUGAGGCAUGGGGGAUUGGGCAUAAGCUGUGGGGCCUUUGACCUGAACCAUGGGGGACUUUGGAGUGAGACAUGGAGGGGAGGGUUCAGUGUGAGCUGUGGGGG